CUCAUAGCUUUUCCAAACCGAGGCUCAUUAUUCGCUGAAUUAUCGACGAAAAGGGCUUGGUCAACUGCUGGAUGCUGUUGUCAGAACGGGUGAGCAAAUCGACUGCAUUCUACCGUAGGCCUAAUACACAUCCUUUUUGAGGAUUCGUUUUGCAGCAGAUUUGUUAGACGUCAGCUGAAAGAAGGCUGAAGCUGAAGAAUUCAAAGCAGUGAUCAACGUGAACUGAUACAUCAUCAUGAACAAGUUCCAGGAAGGUCUCCAGCAGCAACGUCGACUCAUUGAGCAGCUGAGGUGCGAGGCCCAGAUCACCCGAUUCCGUGUGUCCCAGUGCAUUGAUGACCUCCAGAAGUACUGUGAUACCCAUAUUGAGGAGGACUAUCUGAUCCGGGGCUUUAGCAAGCCCAGCGAGAACCCCUUCAAGGAAAAGGGCAGCUGCGCGAUAUUGUAGGAGCAGCCAGUAUUUAUAUUGCCUUUCUCACCUUCGCCAAUAACUUUUUGUACACCCAACACACUUGUAAUUUUUUUUCAUCGUAACUGAGAAGGUUGAAUUUUGCUCUUGAUUUUGGCAUAUGUAUAGAUGGCAAAAUUAAAAAGAUGAUCUGCUCUUUGACUCUACACUCAUUGUUUGCCUUUGUCAAAGUUCAGAAUCUCAACUCAAUUCCCCCCCCCCUCUGACAACUAUAAAAAUGACAACUAUAAAAUAGGAAGCCUUGAAAAAGAAAAUUCAUGUUGAUGUCAACUGUGAAAAGUUGUGUGUAGUCUUUGUAGUUGAACAAUUGUGGACAGUGUGUAGUCUUAUGAUCUUCAUUCAUAAAUACAUUUAAAAGAAAAUGAAACUGAAUUAGACUCCUUCAUUCAGCAUCUUCUUGUGCUGUACUCCUCAUGAAGUUUCGGUUCGUUUUCAUGACCGACACACAAUGAGGAUGCGACACAUUAAUAGAGAACCAAGAUCAAAUACAUGGCUGUAACGAGCCUGAAAACUUUCAUUUUUGCCUGUAUGUAUGUGUUGUUCGAUGUUGUACUUGUAUGUUAACUCCAUGUUUGAUCUAAUUUCUGAUUUUGGCAAUGGAAGGAAAGGUCGAAAGAACCCCUUGGGUAUAGUGUGUGCAUUUAGUCCCCCCACCACCACUUUCAGUUGGUUUGCGUGGAAUAGUGGUAUGUUGCAUUUGGCUAUCUUAUCUGCUCAUGCCAUGGAUGUAGAAAUAGUGAAUUGUGAAUUUGGUCCAUAGAUUUUCUAAAACUACAAUCAUCAAACAAAAAUAUGAAGUAAAUGGUGGAUUUGGGAAUAAUUAAUGUGUCAUCAUUUUCUAUGAAUUUUAGUCGUAAAUUUUUAGAUUGUAAGAUUCAAAGAUUUGGUUUUGUUCUUGUUAUGAGUUCUUGUCAAUGUUUGUAUGACUGAGCACAUUAAAUGUGGAAAAUAAAAUCUCAGAAAACAAAA